rnacentral:rRNA from 1 species
GACGAACGCUGGCGGCGUGCUUAACACAUGCAAGUCGAACGGAAAGGCCUGCUUUCCCUUGUGGAUUGCGGGUACUCGAGUGGCGAACGGGUGAGUAACACGUGAGUGAUCUGCCCCCAACUUGGGUAUAAGCCUGGGAAACUGGGUCUAAUUCCCGAUAGGACUGCAGGGUGGUGCCUGUGGUGGAAAACGAUUUUCUAGUGGUUGGGGAUGAGCUCGCGGCCUAUCAGCUUGUUGGUGGGGUAAUGGCCUACCAAGGCGGCGACGGGUAGCCGGCCUGAGAGGGUGGACUGCCACAUUGGGACUGCGAUACGGCCCAGACUCCUGCGGGCGGCGGCAGUUGUGAAUAUUGCACCAUGGGCGGAAGCCUGCUGCAGCGACGCCGCGUGGAGGAUGUCGGCCUUCGGGUUGUAAACUCCUUUCGACCGCGAGGAAGCCACCUGGUUGGAAGGGUGGUGACGGUAGUGGUAGAAGAAGCACCGGCUAACUACGUG